GAUGAACGCUGGCGGCGUGCCUAAUACAUGCAAGUCGAGCGAACAGACGAGGAGCUUGCUCCUCUGACGUUAGCGGCGGACGGGUGAGUAACACGUGGAUAACCUACCUAUAGGACUGGGAUAACUUCGGGAAACCGGAGCUAAUACCGGAUAAUAUAUUGAACCGCAUGGUUCAAUAGUGAAAGACGGUUUUGCUGUCACUUAUAGAUGGAUCCGCGCCGCAUUAGCUAGUUGGUAAGGUAACGGCUUACCAAGGCAACGAUGCGUAGCCGACCUGAGAGGGUAAUCGGCCACACUGGAACUGAGACACGGUCCAGACUCCUACGGGAGGCAGCAGUAGGGAAUCUUCCGCAAUGGGCGAAAGCCUGACGGAGCAACGCCGCGUGAGUGAUGAAGGUCUUCGGAUCGUAAAACUCUGUUAUUAGGGAAGAACAAAUGUGUAAGUAACUAUGCACGUCUUGACGGUACCUAAUCAGAAAGCCACGGCUAACUACGUG
rnacentral:rRNA from 1 species